rnacentral:lncRNA from 1 species
AGAGAAGGGGGAGUCUCUGUGCCUUCAGAUGUGUUCUGGGAGAGAGAAGGGAAUCAUCAGAGAGUGGGUGUAGCCUUGAGUCACGUUGAGAAUCCAACGUCCUUCAGUUUUUUCAUCCUGGUAAGCAUUUUUCAGGUCUGCUGGGUUUUGGCACUUAUCAGCAAGGCUAUUUUAAAGCACAUUAAAUCUGAAAAUAAAUGGAGAAGGCUGUGGCAGAGGAAGGCUGGUUUGGCAAGGACUGCUGCUUGUGAGUUAGCACUGGCACUGCAGGACACUGCAGCCGAGAGCAAAGACAAGGCUGGAGAGGAGGGCUUCACAUGGGGGUCAUACACAUACCAUCAGGCCUCCUCCAUCCUCACUGGAGGAGACACUGAUGCCACACAUCCAGGGCCUUCUGCUUCUCCCUGGAAUCUGAAGGAUAGGGUUGUGGGUAGAGGAGCAGUAAGAAGCAGCUCAUUUGUCUAUUGGGGAAAGAUGCUAACAUCCGACCUAACCCUCCAGCCCUACCCCAUGCCAGGCCACUACCAGUACCUGGAAGCCAGGUGGCUGCUCCCUGACUCAGAUGGCCUCUCUUUGACCCAGGUGGUCAAAACUCGAUAGCAGAGAAUACCUAACCUCCCGCCUUAUUCUCAGCUAUAUCCUGCCCCAUUCUGUCCCACCUGCCUUGUACUCCGUUCAUCUAACCUGUUCCUGGUCACCCUGGAACCAUGAAUUGAAUGACUGCAGUGUGGCUGAGGAGUAAGCAGGGGUCCUUGGGGCAGGAGUCCAAGGAACAGGGGUUCAUUGGUUAGAGACUGGAGAGUAAGGACUUGUGGGGCAGGAGUCUGUGCGGCAGGGACCCAUGGAGUAGCGGCUAUGACUUCCCUAGAGAACCCAGAGCAGUGAAGAAAUCAGGAUGAGCCACAGCUCUGACCCGCAGGGCAUCAGGGCUGCAGAGGCACAUGAGGACCACAUGAGCUGAUGGGCCUUGUGCUGAUAAAGCCAGUGAGAAUCAUUAGAGAGCAAGCAAACAGCACUUUUCAGAUGACCUGUGUGGCAUGUCCCAGUAAAUGCAGAAGAUAGAGAAGGGGCAUUUUUCAUGGCACCUGCCAGAGUGAAGCAGGCCCAGGUACCGUUCAACCCCUUUCACUGAAGUUCAGGCUUGAUUCUAGGGCAGCAAAUUCAUGUUCUGUGGGUCCUGCUCCUUUUUGAGACUCCUGCCUUCCCCUUGACCUUCGAGUUCAGCAAUGAUAAAAAUGCCAGACCUUCUACAGGUCUCUAGGGAG